CCAGCUGCUCCGGCCUGCAGGCUGCCUUCGCCAGAGGGAGCUCCAGGAGAGACUCAGGGGAAGACGGCGGGGCCCUGAGGCUGCCUGCGGGCUCCUCCCCACCGCCCCGGGGCUGAGGCACCCUUGGGCCCGCAGCAUGGGCUGGGCUGAGGGCUGGUGGCUGGUGUGGCCUACAAGCGAUGCCCAACUGAAAGCCAGCCUCGCUCUCCCCAGCAGCAAAACCCCUGAGAGGAACGGGAGCAGGUUCCCGCUAAGAGCACUGUAGAAAAGAUAGCAAAGCUUAGAAUGAAAAAAGUGCGUUGAAAUACUGCUGCUGAGUAUCAGCAAAGGGCUCACCAGGGAGAUGCCGGUGUGUGCAUCCCCUGUUGGCAAGGUUUGGUCCCCUCACAGGUGAGUAACUGCCACGGUGGGCAAUCCUGUUCCUCCUGUGCUGCUUGGCUGGGCUGAAGAAGCAAACCCGUAGCUAAAACCCGAAAGGAAAGCCUUAUAAUAUUCUUCACUAUGUGUUUACAGGAAGGCUUGUGAUAGCCUCACAGAUUCUGGGAGCAACAGCAGUGCAGAGAACUCAGGACGAAGCACACAGAGUGUGCAAGGAUGCAUGAUAAGAAAAUAAAACAACGAUCCUGCCACAGUGAGAUGAAGUGCAGAGCGCAGCCUGCUGUGACAAACGUGUCCCACCAGCCCAGCCCAGUUUUUGUCCCUCAGGAGAAAGGAUGAACUCCCUGGUGCUCUCAGCUCAGCCUCCUGCUAAUGAGCACCCUGCAUUUUACCUGGGAAAUAUGAAAAAUUACAAAGGAAGGUCAGAGAUUAGGAAACAGCAUCUACUUCCAAAACAAAAUGAGAAUCAUCUGACCUCAGGCUGGUGGCAACCAACAUCCCCUGGAUCGCUCUGCCACAGGGCUGAUACAGCAUCGCUCUCCCAGGCUCCAGCAAGACUGCAAUAAACUCUGGCCAACCUUGG
rnacentral:lncRNA from 1 species